AACGAGGCCGACCUGCGGCUGAGUUACCUGCGGAGGGAUCAUUAACCUUUCAAAAAACAGGGUGCGUCGCGGCCCCCCUCCGGGGGCGGUUUGGGGUCCUCCCCUUCACGCGCGCACGACUGCAUCCUUACUUUACGAGCACCUUCUGUUCUCCCUCGGCGGGGCAACCUGCCGUUGGAACCGAAUAAACCCUUUUUUGCAUCCAGCAUUACCCGUUCCGAAACAAACAAUCGUUACAAC
rnacentral:misc_RNA from 1 species